rnacentral:tRNA from 1 species
CGUUUUAGAAACAUCAGUGGCCAACAGAUCGCCAGAUCGUUGAGCUGCAUUGGCGGGAUUUCGCCGUCUUCGUUUCUCUUUCUUCGCGGACGAACACGCGCUGGGCCUGCAAGUUUGCAGAAUCCCUGGUCCUUAACAGGAUAUGCGUUAGGGGCUUGUAGCUCAGUUGGUUAGAGCGCGCGCUUGAUAAGCGUGAGGUCGGAAGUUCAAGUCUUCCCAGGCCCACCACUUUCAUCGAGUGAGCAUUCGUCUUCUGGUUACGGGGCCAUAGCUCAGCUGGGAGAGCGCGUGCUUUGCAAGCAUGAGGUCGUCGGUUCGAUCCCGUCUGGCUCCACCAGAUGGUUUGAUCACCGAGAUCUUGUACCGUCGUCCGCGAAACAUCACUCCGCACUUACUAGUCUGGAUAGACAGUAAGCUGCGUGAUUUCUGACAUCGUAAAGAGGAGAUCGAUCCGAGUUGGAUCGUGCGGCAAGCAAUUGCCACGCGAGACUUCAUUAUCUCCGGAUCAUUUUCGGCGCUCGACGCUGACCGCAAGGUUGGCUGCGAGUUGUAAAAUGAUCCUUUUAGCGAAGCUUGACCGCCUCGCUAUCGGAACGAUCUUACGAAGCAAGCUGGUCUUUCUAGUCAAUGUCCGGCUGUACGUAGCAUUCAUCGAGGGUGCGUGCCGCAAGGCAAUCGUACAGACAACAUUCUGCCGAGUGUGUGGACAUUGAUAAUGAGAGCAAUCAAGUGCCUUAAGGGUGUUCGGUG